rnacentral:rRNA from 1 species
GGCCUACGGGGGGCAGCAGUGAGGAAUAUUGGUCAAUGGGCGGAAGCCUGAACCAGCCAUGCCGCGUGCAGGAAGGAGGCCCUACGGGUUGUAAACUGCUUUUACCCGGGAAGAAACCGCCCCCUGUGGGGGGCGUUGCCGGUACCGGGGGAAAAAGGAUCGGCUAACUCCGUGCCAGCAGCCGCGGUAAUACGGAGGAUCCGGGCGUUAUCCGGAAUUACUGGGUUUAAAGGGUGCGUAGGCGGGGCUUUAAGACGGAGUUGAAAUGCAGCGGCUCAUCCGCUGGAAUGCCGUUGGGACGGGGGCUCUUGGAUACGGUCGGGGCGGGUGGAACUCGGGGUGUAGCGGUGAAAUGCAUAGAUAUCACGAGGAACGCCGGUAGCGAAGGCAGCUCGCCGGGCCGGUAUUGACGCUGAGGCACGAAAGCGUGGGGAUCGAACAGGAUUAGAUACCCUAGUAGUCU